rnacentral:rRNA from 1 species
UACGUAUGGUGCGAGCGUUAAUCGGAAUUACUGGGCGUAAAGCGUGCGCAGGCGGUUAUAUAAGACAGAUGUGCAAUCCCCGGGCUCAACCUGGGCACUGCAUUUGUGACUGUAUAGCUAGAGUACGGUAGAGGGGGAUGGAAUUCCGCGUGUAGCAGUGACAGGCGUAGAUAUGCGGAGGAACACCGAUGGCGAAGGCAAUCCCAUGGACCUGUACUGAAGCUCAUGCACGCAAGCGUGGGGAGCACACAGGAUGCGAUACCAGUGGAGUCC